GUAGCUCAGUGGUAGAGUGCUUGCCUUGCAUGCAUGAGACCCUGGGUUCAAUUCCUCAGC
rnacentral:tRNA from 1 species